rnacentral:rRNA from 1 species
UUAAAUUGAGAGUUUGAUCCUGGCUCAGGACGAACGCUGGCGGCGUGCCUAAUACAUGCAAGUCGAGCGAGCUGAAUUCAAAGAUCCCUUCGGGGUGAUUUGUUGGACGCUAGCGGCGGAUGGGUGAGUAACACGUGGGCAAUCUGCCCUAAAGACUGGGAUACCACUUGGAAACAGGUGCUAAUACCGGAUAACAACAUGAAUCGCAUGAUUCAAGUUUGAAAGGCGGCGCAAGCUGUCACUUUAGGAUGAGCCCGCGGCGCAUUAGCUAGUUGGUGGGGUAAAGGCCUACCAAGGCAAUGAUGCGU